GUACUCAUUUCGGCAACACAUAUAGGACAAUUGAAAGGACAUAGAAAAGAUGCACACAGCCCCUGUGCAAUGAUGACACACAAGCUCAUAAAGCAUUUCACACUUUA
ensembl:snRNA Gm24211 U6 spliceosomal RNA